rnacentral:rRNA from 1 species
CUGGCAGUGCGUCUUAAGCAUGCAAGUCAAACGGAAUGUAGCAAUACAUUCAGUGGCGAACGGGUGAGUAACGCGUGGAUGAUCUACCUAUGAGAUGGGGAUAACUAUUAGAAAUAGUAGCUAAUACCGAAUAAGGUCAGUUAAUUUGUUAAUUGAUGAAAGGAAGCCUUUAAAGCUUCGCUUGUAGAUGAGUCUGCGUCUUAUUAGCUAGUUGGUAGGGUAAAUGCCUACCAAGGCAAUGAUAAGUAACCGGCCUGAGAGGGUGAACGGUCACACUGGAACUGAGAUACGGUCCAGACUCCUACGGGAGGCAGCAGCUAAGAAUCUUCCGCAAUGGGCGAAAGCCUGACGGAGCGACACUGCGUGAAUGAAGAAGGUCGAAAGAUUGUAAAAUUCUUUUAUAAAUGAGGAAUAAGCUUUGUAGGAAAUGACAAAGUGAUGACGUUAAUUUAUGAAUAAGCCCCG